GAGUGUAUAGCUCAAGUGGUAGAGCACAUGCUUAGCAUUCAUGAGGUCCUGGGUUCAAGCCCCAGUCCCUCU
rnacentral:tRNA from 1 species